CCAGCAGAGGGCGUCGCGACUCGCUUCGGGAAGAACUGGUGCCACACUGGGUGCCGGAAGCGCGGCGUCCUGGGGCCGGGCGAUGCGGUGACACUUCCCAGGCGGGUAGCCGGGCGUGGUUGGCUGCAGGUCCCGCUGCGCGUGGGGCCACCGCCCAGGCUCCGAGUCCCUCCCGGGCUGCGCAAAUAGUGCUCUGUGCGGCGGCAAGUGGAACAUUUUCACCACUGAUGGCUGGCGGAUCCUUUUGACCUGCGAUGACGCCGUCCAGCCAGCCAAUGUGAAGAGUCUCCAUGAAAGGAGGCCUCCCUUCCUCUAGAUCAGCACAGGGGGAUCACAGAGGACUCCCCCAUCCUGAAGGACAACUGUUUGCACUGGGGACGAGAGCCUGCACAACGUCACAAGGAACAGUGGCACAUGACCAUGGAUAUGCUAUAAACCCAUGUCCACUAACUUCUUCCUGAUGUGAAAACUGAGCUUAGAAGACAUGCUUUCCUCUUUUGGUGAGGCUGACAUUCGCAGACUUCAGCAUUCCGAUUCCUGACAAGUUUGGGAAAGAAGAGGAAAGCCAGGAGAGCUUGUCUGAAGUUGAUCUCCAUGGGAUAGUGUUCAGUUGGAUUAGAAUUGACUGGUGAUAGUGGUGUAGAGAGAAUUGGUGGUGACGUAUGACUGGUCAAUGAAUUACUGUGUGCAGAGUGAAGAAUUAACCUUGUCCAAAGGAAGGUUUGGCUCAUGCCCUCAAUUCCUAGCAUGUAACCUCUAAACCUGUGGAAUUUCCUGCUUGAUAUGUUUACCUAGGGCCUUGGGCCAUGUCAGAUAGUCUACACUAACAAAGUGAUUUAUGUUGGGGGCCUUGGGCUAUGUGGUAUCAGCUUGUCUCCUGGAGGAGCUAGAGACAGAAGUCAGCCUUGGUGGUGAUCACCUAUGUUCACAUGACUGAUCUCUAAUAAAAUCCCUGGACACCAAGGCUUAGGUGGGCUUCCCUAGUUGGCGGUACUCCAUGCAUACUGCCAUGCGUUGGUGCUGGGAGGAUGCACCACCCACACGAUCCCAUUGGGAGAGGAUAACUAGGACCUCAUAUCUGGAACUCUCCUGGACCAUGCCCUAUGCACCUCUUCCCUUUGCUGAUCUUAGUCUGUAUCCUUUCACUGUAAUAAACCAUAAUGUGAGUAUAA